AGAACUCGGGCUGCAAAUCUUACUGGUGAUCUCACUUACUUAAACCAUCUGAGGAAACAGGAGGGCUGGGAGAGAGAAGUCACUGUACAACUCUCUCUGAACAGUGACCAAAUGUUCAACCAGAUGCAUGAGGAAUGGGCUAAAUGCAAACCUCAACUCAACCCUUCUGGAAGAGGAGUAAAGGUUCUGGUGAUACUCAACUAUGAAAAAGAACCCUCCCAAAACCAACAACCAUAGGCUAAAGAAUUUAAUAAGAUGGAGACUUUAUUUAGAAACAACAUGCCUCUCCUGUGAACAGAGAGCUCACUUGGAAAGAAGCUAUGAAUGGACCUGCACAAUUAUUUUCUGGCAAAAACCCAAUCACAUUUGGAGACCUCAGCAGCUGAACACGGAGUGACAGCUGAAAACUCAAACAUGUUACAAAGAUCAGAGACAUUGCUGAAUGCUCCAUUUUGAAGUUUGAUCCAAAGAACCAAUUUAUGUCAUGUUGGUUUUAUUGAAGAGAAGAGCUUUAUUCCAAAGGCUCUUUUAAGCCCACAUCCCCUCUUUGGCUCUUUCGGCCCUUCACGCCCACAGGAUUUCCAAUAUCCCUGGAAGGUAUUUGCCCUUCACAGAUGAGUCCAACAGUGCUUAAGAAAGCGUUAGGUGCUUCUUCAAGCCUGCUUCCUCCCCCUUACCCCAGAACUUGGUUUCAAGAGCAGGCAGAUCCCUCACAUUCAUUUAAUAAGAGAAUACAUUCUGCCUGAGGGUUCUUUUGAAAUAUCUGUGGCUUGUCCUACAUGAAAGAGGACAGGGACAAGAUAGAUAACAAUUUUACUACUAUCUAAAUGUUAAAAAAAACACUAGAUACAUGGAAUAAUGAGAUAAUAGAAUGAGGGGAAGUUUUGGGUAAGGGUCUUGCCUCUGGAGGCUGACUGCUGGGGUUUGAGUAGUACCUGUUGUGUGAUUGUGGACAGUUCAUGUCUUGAAGCCCCUGUUCCUCAACCAGUUAAGUAUAAUAAUCCCUAGUUCAUAGUGCUAUAGUAAGUAUUAAAUAAGUUUAAAAUGCCCUGUAUGUGUAA
rnacentral:lncRNA from 1 species